rnacentral:rRNA from 1 species
GACGAACGCUGGCGGCGUGCUUAACACAUGCAAGUCGAACGGAAAGGCACUGCUUUUGUGGGGUGCUCGAGUGGCGAACGGGUGAGUAACACGUGAGUAACCUGCCCUUGACUUUGGGAUAACUUCAGGAAACUGGGGCUAAUACCGGAUAGGAGCUCCUGUUGCAUGGUGGGGGUUGGAAAGUUUCGGCGGUUGGGGAUGGACUCGCGGCUUAUCAGCUUGUUGGUGGGGUAGUGGCUUACCAAGGCUUUGACGGGUAGCCGGCCUGUGAGGGUGACCGGCCACAUUGGGACUGAGAGACGGCCCAGACUCCUACGGGAGGCAGCAGUGGGGAAUAUUGCACAGUGGGCGGAAGCCUGAUGCAGCAACGCCGCGUGCGGGAUGACGGCCUUCGGGUUGUAAACCGCAUUCGCCUGUGACGAAGCGUGAGUGACGGUAAUGAGUAAAGAAGCACCGGCUAACUACGUG